GGAGGAGGAGGAGGACUUCCGCUGCCAUAAUAUAGUGUAUAGACAAACCUAUUUUUAGCUCAGUUUCCCUUAUUUUGAGGAGUUUCAUUAAUGUGUACAAGUCGCUAUCAAUUAGAUUUUUACUUCAACAUCGUCUUCUCCCGGUGCUUCUGAGGGUGGUGGGGUAUCUAGACAGUGAUAGCGCGUCACUAGUGGUUCCCUGGGUCGUCCCACAUACCGCCAGCCUAUUAGUGGGGCGUGGGGCGUGGGGCGUGAGUGCUUCCUUAUAAAAGAUACAAGAGGAGUCUGCCGCAGGCGUUAGUCUCGUCUCAACGACACCUGAGGUAACGCACAGUCACGGGAACACGUACACCACAAGACCACGACGAUAAGAUCAACCAAGACGCACACCUAACGCCCUGCCACCCACCCAGCACAGGACACGUGGACUUUACUUGUGACACUAUGAGACCUGGGAGAACAUUGUGGCGGACAGCAGCUGUGGUGAUUGUAGCCGAGGCGGUGUGGUGUUCCGUGGCCCUUGCCUCAAACACCCUUCAGGAGGCCGACACAAGUCUCUAUACCACGACAAAGACGGAAGCGCUCGGAUGGUGGGAGGACGGCAGCAGAAGGCACACAGGGGGCACCACAGCACGACACGCUAAAGAUACGAGUACACGAGAGGAGCAGGAUAACACUGUCCUUGAUGUACCUGAUGUCCUAACCUCUGCGAGUCACCUGCAGCACCUUCAGGAGAAUAUGGUUGACGACGAACCAGUGGGCGGUUGAGGGCAAGCGGGCAGGGUACGGCGAAGGACGAAAACUGGAGGAGAACACUAAAGAAAACGAAGUGCAGGUGGAGGAGAUGGAUGAGGAAGGGAGGUUGUUCUUCACAGGUUUAACAGGCUUGACUGGAAACCAACAGGUGUCAAUCAGCGUGAGCGGUUUGUGGGCGGCCAUCAUGUGGAUUGUGUUCAUGGUGGGUGCUCAUCAAGCUCCUCAUCUACGUCAUCACCGGCAAGAGCUCCACCUACUGGGGGGCGAUGGGUUCAGCUCCGCCUUCGGUGACGACUAUUACUACGACCCGUACCACUCCACCUACACCACCUACCGCGCCUUCGACGACCACGCCAGGAAGUACAACUAGUAACGGGGACACACACACACACACACACACACACACACACACACACACACACACACACACACACACACACACACACACACACACACACACACACGAUACAAUUUGGAGUAUGCAAAAAGACAACUGAGCUGAGUGCUUUACAAAGUCGUGGUAUUUUUAAUAUUAGUAUGAUUAGUGUGAUUGUUAUUUAUAUGUUUGUUUGUUUGUUGUUGUUGUUGUUUCUGAGUAUAGUAAUGUUUCUGUACUUUUAUAGGUAUGUAAAUAUUGUGGAGUAGUGAUAUUUAAUUUAUGUUGUAUAGCUUAAGAGUUAACAUAGAGAAGUGCA